rnacentral:rRNA from 1 species
AGGAAUGUAUAGCAAUAGCUACUUGUAUCAUUAAUGAUGCAAGCUCGACUAUGUUGAAUAAAAUUCUAGGUAGAAUUAUGAUAAUGACAUUGUCUGCCUAUGUGUCUUGACCAAAUUACGUGCCAGCAGUCGCGGUAAUACGUAGAAGACUAGUGUUAUUCAUGUUUAAUCGGUUUAAAGGGUACCUAGACGGUGAAUCAAGCUUUAAAAUAAAGAAGAAAAGGGACUAAUUCGCUAGAGUUACUUACGAAGGGGCUUUAAAGUACUGCUGGUGUAGAGAUGAAAUUCUGUCAUACCUCUUUUCGAAAGAAAAAUAACGGCACAGGUAUAGGCGAAGGCAUCCCCUUAUGUGAUAACUGACGUUGAGGGACGAAGGCUUUGUGUAACAAACAGGAUUAGAUACCCUAGUAGUUGAAGCAGAAAAUGAUGAAUGUCAUAGAUUAGACGUCUAAGUUUAUUCUAUAAAUGAAAGUGUAAGCAUUCCACCUCAGGAGUAAUUUGGCAACAUUGGAAUUGAAAUCAUUAGACCGUUUCUGAAACCAGUAGUGAAGUAUGUUGUUUAAUUUGAUAAUCCGCAAAAAACCUUACCACAAUUUGAAUAUUUAUAUUAUUUAUUGUUAUCUCAUUAAUUUUCUUCCUUAUUUUACUUCAUUGAGAUAACUAAACAAGUAAAAAGCUUGCAACAGCAAAACAGAAUAAAAUUAAUAAAGAGGCAAUAACAUAUAUCUACAAGCGUUGCACGGCUGUCUUCAGUUAAUGUCGCGAGACUUUGGUUAGUUCCAUUAAAUUAACGUAAACCCUUACUUUAUUUUUUAUAUAGAGUAGUUCCCCGCUAUAUUGGAUAUGAU